rnacentral:rRNA from 1 species
UACGAAGGGGGCUAGCGUUGUUCGGAAUUACUGGGCGUAAAGCGCGCGUAGGCGGUGAUCUUUGUCAGAGGUGAAAGCCUGGGGCUCAACUCCAGAAUUGCCUUUGAAACGGGAUCGCUUGAGUCCGAGAGAGGAUGGCGGAAUUCCUAGUGUAGAGGUGAAAUUCGUAGAUAUUAGGAAGAACACCGGUGGCGAAGGCGGCCAUCUGGCUCGGUACUGACGCUCAGGCGCGAAAGCGUGGGGAGCGAACGAGGAA